rnacentral:rRNA from 1 species
AGAACGAACGCUGGCGGCAGGCCUAACACAUGCAAGUCGAGCGGCAGCACGGGUACUUGUACCUGGUGGCGAGCGGCGGACGGGUGAGUAAUGCCUAGGAAUCUGCCUGAUAGUGGGGGAUAACGUUCGGAAACGGACGCUAAUACCGCAUACGUCCUACGGGAGAAAGGUGGGGGAUCUUCGGACCUCACGCUAUCAGAUGAGCCUAGGUCGAUUAGCUAGUGGUAGGUAAGCCUACCAAGGCUACGAUACCGUAACUGGUCUGAGAGGACGACCAGCCACACGUGGACUGAGACACGGCCCAGACUCCGUACGGGAGGCAGCGAGGUGGGGUAAUUUAGGACAAGUACGGGGGAAACCCUAGAC